UUCUUCUCUAGGGUUUCCUUAAAUUUCCUCCGCUGCCGCCUCUUUCUCUUCUCGUCUUCUCUCUUCGCCUCACCUUGCUCUCAGAAGCUCCGUCUCCUCUACCUUGAUCACCGUGGAAUAUAUAUCUUGUCUUGCUACGUUAGAUUUGCUCUAUAUUCAUGUUUUUCUCCUCCUCUGUAAAAUCUUGUUUGAUGCUAAUGGUUCUUGUGUUUUGUUGUGCAAGCAUUUUUUUCAUUGCUUUUAGGAGACUGGUUUGUGAUUUCUUUGGAAACUGGGAUUUGGACUCUGGAAGCCGUUUGUUUGGCUGCCCCUCUUUACUUGUCUUUCCCUCUCCUCCCCCUCAUCAAAUUUCAGCCACAUCUUCUAAUGUAGCUCUCUACUACUUACAGACGGAAUCCGCAGUAGAAGUUUCUGAACUGAAAAAGGAAAGCUAAUCUCAGGGAGAUAGACGGAAGAGAAGGUACGACGGCGUCCAAGAUGCAGAGUAUCGCGGUUCUUCAAACCGAGAAUAACUUCGCAACCGGAGCUUUGUGGAAAUUAUGGCUCCUGUUUUCUCGCGGGAUGCUUGGCGAUGUGUUUGGCAUAUGAUUCAGGAUGAUUUGGUGCAUGGUUGGGGAUUGGAUUUUGUGCUAAGGAGAUGUGUGGAGCCUGCACAUGAGAAAAUUGAUGUGGUUGACUCUCAGUGGAUAGUUCAUCAAGUUAUUCCUUCUUUGGGAAGUCAGCUUCAGCUGCGUUGAUUCCAGGGUCAAUCUGAAAAUGGAAAAGCUCCUUGGCAAGGGGUAAGAGAGAGGUGCAGAAGUGAGUGGGCGCAGUUUCAAGAUCGCCUAGCCAAUGCAGAUAAGAAAUAUAUUGAACAGCUUGGGAGGAUUUUGAAUUAGCUAAUUUCUGGUUAUUACCUGUAAAUUUCUUCAUUUUCUUUUGUCCUUUUUCCAUCUUUGUAUCAUUGUACGGAAGGGUGUUUUGGAGCCCAAUUCUCUCACUCGAUGUCUUUAAAUUUUUUUUUUUUUUUUUGCUUCUAGCGGGCGGUAGCUGAACUUCCUGUAGUAGUGAAAACUAACGAUCUGAAACUGGAAGAGAGUGAUCCUUUUUUGUGUAUAAAUAGAUUAGACUUUGCUUCAUUUGACUCGCAUAUUGCCAAUAUUCAUUUCCUUUUCUUUCUUUUUUC